ensembl:lncRNA
UUACAGCUAGACUGGAAACUGAGGGGGAGAGAGGGAUGUUCUGUCCUGCAACUGUCAGGUGUGUUAUCGGUGAGCUGUGUUAUCGGUGAGGUGCGUUAUUGGUGAGGUAUGUUAUCGGUGAGGUGCGUUAUUGGUGAGGUGUGUUAUCGGUGAGGUGCGUUAUUGGUGAGGUGUGUUAUCGGUGAGUGCUGGACCUGGUGUGUGAUUGGUGAGGUGUGUUAUUGGUGAGGUGUGUUAUUGGUGAGGUGUGUUAUUGGUGAGGUGUGUUAUCAGUGAGGUGUGUAAUUGGUGAGGUGUGUUAUUGGUGAGGUGUGUUAUUGGUGAGGUGUGUAAUUGGUGAGGUGUGUAAUUGGUGAGUGCUGGACCUGGUGUGUUAUUGGUGAGGUGUGUUAUUGGUGAGGUGUGUUAUUGGUGAGUGCUGGACCUGGUGUGUUAUUGGAGAGGUGUGUUAUUGGGGAGUGCUGGACCUGGUGUGUUAUUGGUGAGGUGUGUUAUUGGGGAGUGCUGGACCUGGUGUGUUAUUGGUGAGGUGUGUUAUUGGGGAGUGCUGGACCUGGUGUGUUAUUGGGGAGUGCUGGACCUGGUGUGUUAUUGG